AAAAGUUCCUGGCGGCACUACGCACAUUUUUUCCGCACGAACCCUACCGUUAUUACAAGCGGGAUAGCGAUACUAUUAGGAACACCAUCUAUCCAUAGGCUACACUGCGUGAACGUUUACGACGAUACUUUACCACAAUUACAACGGACUACGGCCGUAUACCAAGCGCCAAAGCUGACAUCACGACUGUGCUAGCAUCACAACGCAAGUCCAUAUGGCUGAGCAGGAGCAAAGGUCAAAGCGGAAAAUGGAACCAACAGAGGAUUCCAAAAAACCCGCAACGAAACUGCCACAAUAUUUUAAGGAUUUUGCCAGCCAUAGCAAUGUCUACAGCAUCAAGUAUAGAAACCGACUGGCUGUGGCCACCACCAAGUACUUAAACAUCCAGUCCGACGAAUGGCGCACUAAGACGGGUAAACUGGUGCGCAAGUUCCAGAAGAGCGCUCUUGACCUUGCGUACAUUCACCACCAUCAGAAAACAAUGUUCACUGCUAUUAUUGUGAUACUGAAGAAGCUGUUGGACGUUGCACAAGCAAUGGAAAAGUAUCACAUGGAAAGCAUUGCAACUCUUUUGGCUUCCUGUCCGCCAGACAGUAUGCCAUCGUCUGAUGAGGGCUACUGGAUUGAUGAAAUAUCAAAUUACCCAUCACACUACUCGCAGAAAAUCACACGCAUCAUCGCUGACAACAAAAGAAACAAGACGAAACGAAAUUGCUGGAGAAAAAUUCGCGAACUCACAUUGGAACGACCAGUGAACUUGUGCCUACCGAUCAGCUGUCGGAAAGUGAGCUUAAGGCCAGAACCAAGGCGUACAAAUCCUUGUGGAAACAACUGACUGAGCUGACAAACUCUGUAUCAAUGUAUAACGACAAAAUUAAGGAACACUGCCUCUCCCUGAUAACUGGCUUUGAACAUCUCAAAUCAAAGCUAAACAUUGAGAAGAUGACCAUUGCCCAGGAAGCGUUCCUUCCCAUUGUCCAAGAAAUGUCCACUGUUAGCACUCUCAUUGCUGACCGAUACCUGACCCAGUCUGAGAACGGACGUGAUGUCAGCGCUGCUUUGAACAAACUGGAUGUUGCCAUAAACCUGGCUAAGAACGCGCUGCAUGGUGACCAUCCGGAAGUCCGUGAUGACCCACGCGUGGAUGACAUAGGAGAAAGCGAAUCGGAAAUGAGCACCUCGGACGAUGAAUAACAAGCUAUUACUUACUGGUUUUCAUUUUGCUGUUGGGCUUAUAAACUAUAUAAAAAUUCUGAAUAACGUAAUUGUUUUAUGCGUCUUAUCCGCUUUAGCUUUUGAUGCUUUCACCUACUUUAUACUAUACCCGUACAUAAAUCAAAUAAUAAUACAGUACAGUCAAUGGUCAAGGG